GACGAACGCUGGCGGCGUGCUUAACACAUGCAAGUCGAACGGAAAGGCCCUGCAUUUGUGGGGUGCUCGAGUGGCGAACGGGUGAGUAACACGUGAGUAACCUGCCCUUGACUUUGGGAUAACUUCAGGAAACUGGGGCUAAUACCGGCUAGGAGCUCCUGCUGCAUGGUGGGGGUUGGAAAGUUUCGGCGGUUGGGGAUGGACUCGCGGCUUAUCAGCUUGUUGGUGGGGUAGUGGCUUACCAAGGCUUUGACGGGUAGCCGGCCUGAGAGGGUGACCGGCCACAUUGGGCCUGAGAUACGGCCCAGACUCCUACGGGAGGCAGCAGUGGGGAAUAUUGCACAAUGGGCGGAAGCCUGAUGCAGCAACGCCGCGUGCGGGAUGACGGCCUUCGGGUUGUAAACCGCUUUCGCCUGUGACGAAGCGUGAGUGACGGUAAUGGGUAAAGAAGCACCGGCUAACUACGUG
rnacentral:rRNA from 1 species